GGCGCACGCACCUGGCCCCAAGUUAACUUCCGGUCUGUGUUGUGUACAUCGGUCUGGCUGCGGUGCCUUCUACAAACGCAGUUAAAGUCAAGGUGAUGAGUAGACUGAAAGCCAUAUAGAGAAAGAGUUGCGACAACUCCAUUGACUCCAAUGGAACGCUUUUUUUACAGCAAUGGCGGCUCGUGGAGCCUCUCAAUAGUUCCCGGAAGUAGCAGCAAACCGAUGCCGCGCCGUAGAGAUGCAGCAGAACAAACCGUUUGUGACGCACUUUUAAAAGGUGGAGGAUUAGUGCUGCCACUGGACUGUUCUGUGAUGGAGCAUCAGUGAGGAUGCAGACCCAGGUAACUGGCUGAUGGUUCACUGGAAUGCUGGCUGGCUGCUGACUGACUUGCUGCUGGCUGACUGAGUAGUGUCAGCUGUCCCUGUCUCUCCUCUCUAGCCAUGUCCUCUAUUUCUUCACUGUCACUUUCCCUUCUCUAAGUGUCCUCAUUCAUUUUUUCCACAACCUUUGAAACUGAUAGAGGCAGAAUACAUGGAAUUGCUCAUUUUAAAUAUUGAAAAUAUCACAUCACUUCAAAAUUAGAAAUAUUACUUCAACUAGUACGAGUUUGUACUUACUAUAUAUGUAUCACCUGAAAUAAUAUAGCUGUAAUCAGCAGCGAUUUGCUGUAUGUUUACAGGUCUAGGGGUGCAUCGUGGAGCAGGGGCACUCCUCUUUUUGACCACAAAGGUUGUCGGAAUAGCACCUGGUCUCAGCCUACUCUUUAAUUUUUUGGUCAUGACAAAUUGGUUUUCCUCAAAAUGUGCCUGCAGAGUGACUUGAGUUUAGUUUCCACACACAACUUU